AUGUUGGCUCAGAAGCAGCCACCAUUUAAAGAGUGCGUAAUAGCUCACUAGUCGAGUGACUCUGCGCCGAAAAUGUAUCGGGGCUAAAUACACCACCGAAGCUGCGAAUUGAUACUAUUGGUAUCAGUGGUAGGGGAGCGUUCUAAGUGCAGUGAAGUCAGACCGGAAGGACUGGUGGAGCGCUUAGAAGUGAGAAUGCCGGUAUGAGUAGCGAAAGACGGGUGAGAAUCCCGUCCACCGAAUGCCUAAGGUUUCCUGAGGAAGGCUCGUCCGCUCAGGGUUAGUCAGGACCUAAGCCGAGGCCGAUAGGCGUAGGCGAUGGACAACAGGUUGAUAUUCCUGUACCACCUCUUUAUCGUUUGAGCAAUGGAGGGACGCAGAAGGAUAGAAGAAGCGUGCGAUUGGUUGUGCACGUCCAAGCAGUUAGGCUGAUAAGUAGGAAAAUCCGCUUAUCGUGAAGGCUGAGCUGUGAUGGGGAAGCUCCUUAUGGAGCGAAGUCUUUGAUUCCCCGCUGCCAAGAAAAGCUUCUAGCGAGAUAAAAGGUGCCUGUACCGCAAACCGACACAGGUAGGCGAGGAGAGAAUCCUAAGGUGUGCGAGAGAACUCUGGUUAAGGAACUCGGCAAAAUGACCCCGUAACUUCGGGAGAAGGGGUGCUUUCUUAACGGAAAGCCGCAGUGAAUAGGCCCAAGCGACUGUUUAGCAAAAACACAGGUCUCUGCGAAGCCGUAAGGCGAAGUAUAGGGGCUGACACCU
rnacentral:rRNA from 1 species